ensembl:lncRNA
CUUGGGUCUCCCAAAAGAUCUUAUAGGGCAGCGUAAGGGGAGUGUCUAGGGGUACGCACAGGCUCACGAUUGGUGUGCUUCCAGGCUUGGAGGGCUUGCCCUGUGUUGAUUGGUCAACUGGUUGUUAUGGCUCAUAGGCCCUCCCAGGGUGGUUGCUAUGCUCUCUAUGUCAUUGUCGUGCGCUUGUCCGUAAAGCACACCCAGGGUCGUAAAGCAUAGCGCCACCAGCUAACUUCUGAUUGGUUCCUUGUCACAAGACAGGCAUCUGACCUCUAAGUGACUAAGGUUCCUUGUCACGAGACAGGCAUCUGACCUCUACGUGACCAAGGCAGGUUUAUGGCAAGCACGUGUUCGGCUGUUAUGGCUGCCAAAAGGAAGCUGGUUCCUUCACUACUAGGAUGGCCCAUUAAGCAGCACUUAAAGCAUUCAACUGCUUUUCUCAUCCACAGUCCCAAGAUCCAUAUCCUUCAAAUAAAAGAAUGACUAGGUGUAUCACAGCAAGACCCCAGUUCCUGGUACCAACUUCUGUCUUAGUUAGGGUUUCUAUUGCUGUAAAGAGACACCAUGACUACAGCAACUCUUAUAAGAAAAACAUUUAAUUGUGGUAACUUACUUACAGUUCAGAGGUUUAGUCCAUUGUCAUCAUGGUGGGAAUUAAGGCAACCUGCAGGCAGACAUGGAGCUAGGGAAGGAGCUAGGACAUCUUGACUCACAGGCAAUAGGAAGUGGUCUGAGACACUAGGUAAGGAUUGAGCAUAUAUGAGAUCUCAAAGCCCACCUCCACAGGGACACACUUCCUCCAACAAGGCCACACCUCCUAAUAGUGCCACUGCCUUUGGGGGCCAUUUUCUUUCAAACCACCACAGUAAGCAUAAAUUUGGAUGAGAAAAAAAGAAAUAAACUAACAUCAUUCUUCCCAUUAACCUUUAGUUUAAUGGAGAUUUGGUUUUUCCUUCCAUGGGAAAACCUCAGAUUGUGAUACUUACUGCCUGUGAUUGUGAUGACAAACCCCACACUGUGGUACUUACUGUUAUUAUUUUGUUUAAUGUUAUUCUUUUGUUUAAAAAGAAGAAAAGGGAAAUGCUGAGACAUGAGACAUAAGACUAUAAGUUUAUUAUAAGGCCCGGCAGAAUGGGGAGACUAAGAAGAGGAACAGGGGUAAAUGGCUGACCGCCAUGGUCGGUCGCCAUAGACAGACAGAGAGAGCCAUAGGUGGGAGACAGAGUAGAGAGAAAGCAGAGACAAAGCAGAGUGGGGAAACAGAGAGAGGGAAACAGAGAGAGGGAACAGAGAACGGGAACAGAGCGGGGAACAGAGAGAGGGGACAGAGAGAGGGAACAGAGAGUGUAAAUGUGCAGGGGGCCUAUCUUUUAAAGGGGUCCUCUGCACCUGCGUGCAGACUUAGUUCCCAUGGAACCUUGGGCUGACCAGGGUACUGCCUGUUCCACCAGGUAACAGGGGCAGAAUGCACUCAGGUCAGCCCAGGUGCAAAGGACCCCUUUAAAAGAAAGACCUCCACCCACUUCCGCUCCUUCUGCUCCCUUUUCUUUCCCACUCUCUUUCUCGAUGUUCCCCUGGGACAGACAGGACUUUUCCUGCCUCCCUCUUCUCUUC